rnacentral:rRNA from 1 species
UGAUACUAAGCCAUGCGAGUCAUUGUAGCAAUACAAGGCAUACGGCUCAGUAACGCGUAGUCAACCUAACCUAUGGACGGGAAUAACCUCGGGAAACUGAGAAUAAUGCCCGAUAGAACAUUAUGCCUGGAAUGGUUUAUGUUCCAAAUGAUUUAUCGCCGUAGGAUGGGACUGCGGCCUAUCAGUUUGUUGGUGAGGUAAUGGCCCACCAAGACUAUUACAGGUACGGGCUCUGAGAGGAGUAGCCCGGAGAUGGGUACUGAGACACGGACCCAGGCCCUAUGGGGCGCAGCAGGCGAGAAAACUUUGCAAUGUGCGAAAGCACGACAAGGUUAAUCCGAGUGGUUUCUGCUAAAGGAACCUUUUGUCAGUCCUAGAAACACUGAUGAAUAAGGGGUGGGCAAGUUCUGGUGUCAGCCGCCGCGGUAAAACCAGCACCUCAAGUGGUCAGGAUGAUUAUUGGGCCUAAAGCAUCCGUAGCCGGCUCUGUAAGUUUUCGGUUAAAUCUGUACGCUCAACGUACAGGCUGCCGGGAAUACUGCAAAGCUAGGGAGUGGGAGAGGUAGACGGUACUCGGUAGGAAGGGGUAAAAUCCUUUGAUCUAUUGAUGACCACCUGUGGCGAAGGCGGUCUACCAGAACACGUCCGACGGUGAGGGAUGAAAGCUGGGGGAGCAAACCGGAUUAGAUACCCGGGUAGUCCCAGCUGUAAACCAUGCAAACUCAGUGAUGCAUUGGCUUGUGGCCAAUGCAGUGCUGCAGGGAAGCCGUUAAGUUUGCCGCCUGGGAAGUACGUACGCAAGUAUGAAACUUAAAGGAAUUGGCGGGGGAGCACCACAAGGGGUGAAGCCUGCGGUUCAAUUGG